rnacentral:rRNA from 1 species
CAGUCUGCAACUCGACUGCAUGAAGCUGGAAUCGCUAGUAAUCGCGGAUCAGAAUGCCGCGGUGAAUACGUUCCCGGGUCUUGUACACACCGCCCGUCACACCAUGGGAGUCAGCAACGCCCGAAGCCAGUGACCCAACUGAGAAGAGGGAGCUGUCGAAGGCGGGGCCGAUAACUGGGUGAAGUCGUAACAAGGUACC